CAAUAGCGUAUAUUAAAGUUGUUGCGGUUAAAAAGCUCGUAGUUGGAUUUCUGCUGAGAACGACCGGUCCGCCCUUUGGGUGUGUAUCUGGCUCUUUCUUGGCAUCUUCUUGGUGAACGUUGCUGCACUUGACUGUGUGGAGCGCUACCCAGGACUUUUACUUUGAGGAAAUUAGAGUGUUUCAAGCAGGCAUACGCCUUGAAUACAUUAGCAUGGAAUAAUAAGAUAGGACCUCGGUUCUAUUUUGUUGGUUUCUAGAGCUGAGGUAAUGAUUAAUAGGGAUAGUUGGGGGCAUUCGUAUUUAACUGUCAGAGGUGAAAUUCUUGGAUUUGUUAAAGGCGGACUACUGCGAAAGCAUUUGCCAAGGAUGUUUUCAUUGA
rnacentral:rRNA from 1 species